UACGGAGGGGGCUAGCGUUGUUCGGAAUUACUGGGCGUAAAGCGCGCGUAGGCGGACCUGCAAGUCGGGGGUGAAAGCCCGAGGCUCAACCUCGGAACUGCCUUCGAUACUGCGGGUCUCGAGUCCGGGAGAGGUGAGUGGAAUUCCUAGUGUAGAGGUGAAAUUCGUAGAUAUUAGGAAGAACACCAGUGGCGAAGGCGGCUCACUGGACCGGUAUUGACGCUGAGGUGCGAAAGCGUGGGGAGCAAACAGG
rnacentral:rRNA from 1 species